rnacentral:lncRNA from 1 species
UAAUCUUCCACAAUCAAUCCCCGUGGUUUCUCCCCCUAAUGCACCUCCUCAACAAAGUUUGCCACCUCCGGCUCAACUUCCAAAUCAAUACUCUCAGAUCCCAACCCCAACCCCAACUGUUCCUCAGAGAGAUCCAUACUUGCCACCACCUGUUCAAUCUCAGGAAAUUCCAAAUCAGCAAUACCAAUUGCCUUUAACUCAGCAGCCACAUCCUCAACCAGGGGCACCUCCGCAUCAACAAUAUCAGCAGACCCCUCAUCAUCAAUACUCUCAGCCACCGCCUCAUCUACCUCCACAACAGCCACCGCAUUCAUCUGGAAAUCCACCUCAACUGCAAUCUUCCAUGGGUCACCAUCUAGAGGAACCACCUUAUGUUCCUUCUCAGACUUAUCCUCCCAAUCUCCGCCAGCCACCAUCUCAGCCACCCAGUGGACCUCCUCAACCUUCCCAACAGUUCUAUGGAACACCGCCACAAGGAUAUGAACCACCAUCGAGUAGACCUGGUGCGAGUUACUCUUCUGGAUAUGGUACAUUAUCUGGGCCUACUGAGCCAUAUCGAUAUGGCGGACCACCUCAAUAUGGUAGUAAACAGUCACAACUACCUAAUGCUUCGGCAGCUUCCAGUGGUGGAAACAGUUACCCACAGCUCCCUACUGCCCGCGUACUCCCACAAGCAAUACCUACUGCAUCUGCAGUAAGUGGUGGUUCAGGUUCUCCUGGAGCUGGCAACAGGGUUCCUGUUGAUGAUAUAGUUGAAAAAGUUGCCACUAUGGGAUUCCCUAGAGAUCAUGUGAGGGCAACGGUUCGGAAGCUGACAGAGAAUGGUCAAGCAGUUGACCUAAAUACAGUGCUGGAUAAGCUUAUGAAUGAAGGUGGUGGUGGUGAUAUGCAGCAACAAAGAGGUUGGUUCGGUCGGUAACACGACAUUACUCAAUUGAACUUUGUAUAGAAGUAUGGCUUCUUUCACUAUGAAGGUUUAUGAGGAAGGGGGUCUAUCGCUUGUUUUCUAUGAAGGUUUAUGAGGAAGGGGGGCUUCGUGGGUGGAUUUUGCUAAUUGAAUAUUGACUUUUUUUUUUUUUUUUUUUUACCAUUUGUUCUUAUUUCUUUGAUAGUUGAAACUGUAAUGUUUUCUUGCGGGUCUAAUUAAUGACUAUCUUGAUCUUGUGCUGUAUAUUUUCAAUAAAUAAAAGUGGAUUUGGUAAGUAACUCUGAACUUUUCAAAUUUCUGCCACUGUUAACAGAUUUGGUGAGGUUGGUUUUGUGGUUAUAUAUAAUCAAGUAAAAGCAGAUAUAUUUUAAUGCUGCAUCUAAUUAUGUAAUGUACUACGCUAGGUAUAACUUUAAUAAGGAUGUCUUUUACCAACAUUUAUUAUGUAGAAAUAAAAAUAACCCUUUGUUUUCUAACAUAAGACCAUCCUCUCAUUUUCUACAAAUUAUAGUAUAAAAAACUUGAUAUGAUUCAUUAUAUUAAUGUGUCAACAUUUUUUAUUUGCUUAGUUGGUAGGAAUAUUUCAUAAUAUAUGUAGAGGUUAGGAUUCUACUAAAAAAAAUCCUCAAAAAAAAAAAAUGUAGAGGUUAGGAUUCGAAUUCCGAUUAGAUGAAUUUUUAGUCACUUGACCAAACAAAUAUUUUCAGUUUGCUAUUAGAUCAAAAUGUUCAUGUAAGUUAAAUUCUAGAAGAGUAGGAGUUUACCAAGAUCAUAGCAAUUUUAAGGUUUUGAUAAUGUUGGGGAAGUACCAAUAUUUCUCUCUCAUCAAAAUAAUUUAUUUUAAUCACUCAUCUAUUAUUCUCUCUCAUCUAAAAUACACUAAAGUCAAAGUAAGUGAAGUGCUACACGAAUAUAGUCUUCUAUAUAUAGUUGGCUCAAUUUCAACUAAUAUAUGAACUAAGUUAAGGGGUUGCUUUUCAUUGCUAUGAUUGUGAUUUGACUGUGAAGAAUGUAUAAUUAAGUGUCUAAAUAGUAUAUGACCGCUAUUAUUAUUUCCACAUGAAUAAUACACAGUGGCGUAGCCAGGAUCCUGAAGUAGGGGGUUCAGACCUUUCAACUUUACUAGAGCUAUGAAAGUUUUGUGCAGUUAUUUUUUCUUUUAAUUAUCAUUUAUUUAUACUACUAAAUUUAUAAUUUUCGUCAUUUUUUUCCAAUCAAAUAUCUAUUUUUUUUUGCAUAAAUGUUUAAUUAUUAUUUUUUAUAUUUUCCAUAUUUUGUAUAAAUUAUAAAUUUCGAAAUCUAUCAAAUGAAAGUUAGAAUUUGUGUAAAUUAUAAAUUUAUAAUUCUAAAGCAUAAUAAUUUGGUGUAUAACAUUUUGUGUUGAAAUAUGUUUCAUGGAAAGAAGUAAAAAUAAUUUGCAUAAGUUAUUGGUUACGGAAAAAAUAUGAGGGAGAGUAAUUUGGGUACACCUUGCAUUUGAGUUCAUGAAAAUUGAGAAUAAGUAAGAUUUAUUUUAUUUUAUUUGGAAAAGAUGACAUUUGAAAGAAUAUAAAAUAUUUAGGAUGGUGGGAGUAUUAAGUUAUGAAAGAAUAUAAAAUAUUUAGUAAUAUAUAUUAUAUUUGCAAGAAUUAAACUUUGCGACAUACUUGGUUUAGUGGUAAAAGCUUCUUAAAAGACUUUUAGGAUUUGUGUUCUAUCUUCAAGCACUUCAUUUUUACUUUAGAAGGAAUUCAAUUAUUACAAUUACAAUUAUUAAUAAGAAAAUAAAAGAAAACAAAUGUAAUGGGAAAAAACAAAUAGAGAGUUGGGCUUUUAAAAAAUAGUUAUAUCAAAAAGGAAGUCAAUUAUCUCUAGUUGAGCCAAAUACUGUUGUGCUAACAUAAAAAUGAGACUCGUGCCAUUCAUAGGGUGAGAGAAACUUGGAUUAUUGGUGCAAAAUGUUUGGCUCAAUUGCAAUGUUAAAAUAUGAGGAGAUUCAUCCUUAAAAUAUCAGGAGGUUCAAGCACUAAUAAAACAGUGCAAUCAUGUGCAAAUUUUAAAAGCCCAAGGGAUGCAAGUGCAUCCCCUCACUUAUAUGUGGCACCGCCACCGAUAAUACAUAUAAGGUAAAUUUAUGUUAUUUGAUUGAGUAUAUUAUGUUGUUUCCUCCUCAGUCCUCUGUAUUUUUGUCUCUUGUCCCUUCUUUCUUAUCUACAAUUCUUUCGUCCAAUAGUUACUUUGAGUACGUCAUGAUUUUUCAUACAUAUUAGCAACAUAAGCAUGCAUUCAAAUAACACAUGUAAACCAUUUUUGAACUUAAUACCCUACUACAAAGCAUCGUAUACGAAAAUAUUUCUUUUUCUAGAUUAUAUUCAAUUGAUGUAUUUAAUUUAUAAUACGGGUUAAAUACAACCGUUAUUAUUCAAUAAAUCUAAAAAAAUAAAAAUAUUUGAUGGAGUAUAAUCCACAAAAUACCCUUCAACAUUACAUGUUAGGUAUCUCCCCAUUCUCCAUAUUCCUCUCAAGAAAUGUACUCUUUGUCACUAAGCAACCGUACGGUCCGCUAAUUAUUCUCUGGCACUGCGUAUUACUUUUGGACCUCAAAGGCACUAUUUGUUGUAUUUUAAUUAAAGAAUUAAUAUUUGUACAAUAAUUUUGCAAUAGUUUUUAAACGAUUCUCUCCUGCUCACAUGAUGAUUUUUUUUUCUCUAUUAUUUUUAACAAUAGGAUGAAAGAAAAAGAAGGUUUUAAGAGUAUUGUUUAAUAAAUUCAAUUAAAAAUUUGUUUUAAAAAUAUAAAUAUAAAAUCGAAAUUCUUUUUAAUGAUUAAUUUUAAUAUGUUAAUUGUUAUAUAAGUUUUCUCCGUGGAUACUUGAAUUUGAACCUCUAACUUCUAACUUUUAGCCCAAAUAAGUUGAAUUACUCAACGGAUUCGAAGUAUUUAAUAUAUCAUUGUCUAUACGUAAGUUUUCUCUUUUGUUUUCUUAAAUGAUUAUUAUAACCAAAACAUCAUUUUUUUAGAUUGAAUGAAUCUAGCUGAUGUUUUGUUUACAAGAGUAGCGAUUAUAGAAUACGCAUAUCAGAAUUUGUUACUUAACUUUCUCUUUGUUGAUAGAAAAUUGAAAGUUUUCCUGUUCUCAUAGUUUACAUUACUUUGAGAGUUAUUAAAAAAUAAAGUAUAGUAUAUACUUUAAGAGAGAGAUACCAUGGGAACUAAUUACAAUACCAUUUGGUACAAUUCCAAAUUAAUUGCAGCAGUUGAUUCGUCAACUCACAACAAUGAAAGAAUCAAAUGUGACAACAUAUAUGAUUCUCUCAAAAACAUCUAUGAUUCUCAACCAAUUCCUUCACUUUCUGAUUCUUCAACACCUAGUAACUCCAAGGUAAUAUAGUAUUUUUUUUUUUUUAUAGAGAUAUAAUUUUCUUCUUUGAGUUUGAGUGUGGAUCUGGAAUAAUAUUUGUGAACUGUUAUUCUAUUAUGUUAUGUUAUGUGGUUGAAAUUCAAUUUGAUUUUUUUUUUUUUGUGAUGGUUGUUGUUUUAAUAAAAAAAUUAUUAUGACUUGAGGAUUCUGUACUGAGGAGAGUCAAAUCAUUAGAGACCGAGGAUGGUUAGACCUUCCGUUCACACCCGUUGUGACUUGAGUUCUAGUAAUGAAUUUUGCAAUUGGUAGGUGUUAUACAUAAUAGACUCGUAUAUAUAAGCAAAGAUUCUAUUUUUAUAUUUAUUGAAUAACCGAUGUAUUUAGUUUACAUUAUAAACCAGAUUUUCAGUGUAAAACUACUUUACACAGUACUUGCCCCUGAUAGCUCUUGAUAUGCAACGGGUAGUCACAAUAGUAUCUCAAUGUAUCAAAAUUUUAAAAUAGUCCCUAGUUGUGUACUAUGUUAGUUGAAAUAGUCAUUGACAUUAAAAUGUACGUUAAUAUUGUCAUAUUAGUCCCUCAUUAUACUUGUUUGUUAUCAUAUCAGUCAUUAUAAGUACUUACUUAUUGUCAUAUCAGUUUCUAUAUGAAAAGAGUUAAUGUCAAUAUUGAGGGACCAUCUUAACAUCAGAGACUAUUUUGACUAACGAAGUGCACAAUCAUUGACUAUUUUGGAAUUUCGAUACAUCAAGUUACUGUUGUGACUACUCGUUACACAUUCAGGGACCAAAAUGACUAUUACCCCCUAAAUAAAUAUUGAUUGUUAAGUUUUGUUUGGUAAAAUUGGCUUUGAGGUUGUCUUUUUAUGCGACUUGUUAUUGCUGAUUGUUACCCCAUCUUGUUUGAAGUUAGUGCUUAAUAGAGGAGGUAUAUGCAUACUUUCUUGUUGUUGCUUAUAUCUUGUUGUUUUUAGGAGAAUGCUAGGGAGGGUGAGGGUCGUUGGGGUAAUGGGUUAGGACUCAAUAAUAGAAAAUUCUACUGAUAAUUACAGCUUAGUAGCCAAGAAUACAUCAAAUGCUUUGAUUUCCAAUAAAAAUUUAUAUUUCUUCAUUUGUUAGCAUGGCCUGUAUUGCAAGUUACAACAUUUGGUCGAUUGGUAAGUUAAGAAACUUCGAUUUUCAUCUUAAUAUCUCUUUUGAAAUCUUUAACAAGUGUCUACACUUGUUUUUUUUUUUUUUUUCUUUUUUUCCGUUCAAAAAGCAAGUGUCUAAAGUCACUUGUUAGCAUUUGUCUUAAAGUAACUUGAAUCAUUUAAUAUAGUGUAUUACUUACAUACUCUUUAAUCGGUGUCUUCUUGGGACUCAUAAGUGAAAUCCUUUUUAAAUUUAUGCAAAAUUGAAUAAUGCAUUGUAAAAACUAAAAAGUUUUAAAACAAAACGAAAGAUAAGUUUGUGAGACCUGAAAGUUUCAGCAUGCAAAUGUUAUUAUGUACAGUUUAAGAGUUACCUGAUACUAUUACUUUGGUUUUCAAUGUUUUACGUGUUAGAAUAAUGUGCUGAUCAUAUGCAGCUUUGUGUAAUAUAGGAGGCAUUAAUAAUAUAAUGUACCAUCUAGGUGUAGGGUUAUUUUCAUAAAUAUCGAGUAUUCAUCUUAUUUUGUGCAGAGUCACAGUUCUCUGCAUACUUUUGAACCUGCAAAAGUGGCUGCAGAAAACGACCGAAGUGUUGUUGAUGCUACAAUUUCAUUAGAGAUUGAUCAAACAAUGAAGAAACGUAUGGACAGUUUGCAUCUUGUUCCGGAAGGUGUUUUAGCGUGUUUAACAUAGCUAGAAACCAGAACUCAUCAUCUUGAGCGUUCUAUGGAUGAUUUGAAGGUAUCUGUUGGAAGGCUGUUGGAGAAUAUUCUUUCCGAGGUAUUUUAUCAAUCAUGCUCUCUCCCUGCCCUCAACUUCUAAAAUUUUAUUAAUCAGGUUGUUGGCAACAUUUGGCAUAUCAAAUGAAUUCAUUUGCUUGAUGCAAAUACUUGUUGUGUCUGCGACUGUGCUCUCGCGCAACCUAUAAACAGUUAUGGUAGUUUAUCAACACAAAUAUAUUAUUAGUAGUUUAUCAUAAAUAGUUUAACCUAUAUAGCACUUCUCCUUUUGUUAACCCUUUAGGUUUGUUACGAAAUGGGGUUCUCUCUGUAAAAUUACCAUAACUUGAACUUCAACAUGGCUUCACUAUAGAAAUAUUAUGGCACCCAUUUGUGCAUGGUGGCUGAGAAAAUGGUGGAGAUAUCAGGAUUGUAGCUGGAAGAUCUUCUCUUUCAACAGUUAUUUUGCCAUUCUUUUACAAUGUUCUCCCCACAUACUAUAUCAUCUUUGGUUAUUUAUGAUAUUAUGAUUUGAGUAUGUUCCUGCUGCAAGUUGAUUUGAGUAUUUUACCACUCUUACAUUGUUGUUAUCAUUAUGAAAUGUUAUUGUUAAGCGUCUACUCGUAAGCUUUUGGGAGAGGCCUUUGGCAUACAUGAUUGACUUAAUCCUAUUUAAAAUUUCUGUAAUGGGGAAUCAAAUUAUUAAGAAGUGUUGAGCUGAAUUUGACAAUUCAGAGUUACAUUUGUUUUAACAUUGAGACAUAGACAAUACACUGUUUUGAUUUAGAAACCUUACGAAUAACUUGUGAGAAGAAAUAACACCAAAUUUAAUAUAGUGAUGUUUGUACAUGCUAAUGUUGGAUCUUGCUUUAGUUCAUACUGGUUCUUCUUUUACUCUUUUGUUUGACAUAAAAAAUAUACAGGUGCAAAAUGUCAAGGACAAGCAAGAUAUACUACAAGCUCAGCUGGAAACUCAAACUAGUGUCAUAUCAAAUCUUGUGCAGCAAGCUUUAUCUCUGUCUGCAUCUGCUCUCCUGCAAUCUCAACAAUAUCUUCCGCAAUCAAUUCAUGUGGUUUCUACCGCUAUUGCACCUCCUCAACACGGUUUACCAUCUCCAAUUCAACUUCCAAAUCAAUUCCCUCAGAUCCCAAACCCAACUGUUCUUCAGAGAGAUCCAUACUUGCCACCACCUGUUCAAUCUCAGGAAAUCCCAAAUCAGCAAUACCAACUUCCUUUAAUUCAGCAGCCACGUCCUCAACCAGGGGCGCUGCCGCAUCAACAAUACCAGCAGACCCCUCAUUCUCAGUACUCUCAGCCAGCACCUCAUCUACCUCAACAAC